UUUCUUUGCAAGAGGAAGUUAACUGAAGUCAAUCCUUGUCAUAAAGGCGGCGGAGAGGAAAGAAGAAGGGGACAGACAGCGAAGGAGAAAAGAUUGAGAGGAGCCUUCUUCCACCCUAAGACCUGAAUUAUGGCCUGAGUUAUCACCAGUGCCUGCAGAUAUGUGGUGGCAAAAAUCAGAAUAUGCUGCUGCUUCUGCUGUAACGAUGACACGGCAAAAUCAGAAUCUUUAACUCAAGAAAGAGGUUUCCCUGCAGGCGGAUGACAAAAAUCUCGGAUGGCGGAGACACCCCCCAAAUGUGUCAGUUCCAUCAUGGAGCAACCUAAGGGGACAUGAGGCAGAUAAAGGACCACGUUCGCGGAUCCUCUGGAACGGUGGCUGGUCCUCCUCUACCAAUUUGGCAAGAUGCAAAAUUCUUUCAUCCAUCUACCUGGCCAUAUCCAGACAACUCAUGAAAACAGGUUUAUAAACUCCCCUCGGAGCGGAGGUGAACGUGUUUGAUUUAUCCUGUGUCUGGGAGACCAGUAGAGUCAACCUUUGAAAUGACCAAGAGUUUGAAAUUAUAUCAAAAAGGAAAUAUAAUUUGUUGACUAAAUGUA